rnacentral:snRNA from 1 species
CGCUAUCCAUCCUGAGUUU